GCGUUGCUCUGCCUCCAGGGCAAAAGCAGCGCGGCUGGGCACACCUGACCCACCGGUCCCAGGUUCCCGGACUGGCUGGAGAAACACGGGCUUUUUAUUCUUUUUUAAAAUGUUUUCCUCAUUACCUGAGUCUUUGGUUUUCCCGCUCCUUAAAGUCACUCGUUAACUUUGCAUGCGUGAGCCUUCCCGCUUUGUGUUUUCUCCCGACAGGCUUCCCUGGAAAGCGACGGGUGUCAGGAGCCAUCCUGGCUACACGUGGCGUGGCUGUGCCUCUGCAGCAGCACACCUUGCAGACCCCAGAUUGCGCCUGAGAUUGUCAAAUAAAUGUAAAUGAAUUUAACACUUGGAUUUGGAAGAAAUUGAGCCGGAUGCGGAUGGAAAACUCUGUAGGUUUGUAUUAAAAAUCUGAAUCCACAGCUGCCGUUCCCAGGCAUCCUGCCUCUCCUAGGUACGCAGUGCCUGAGGUAUCCUAUGGCCCCAUAACCUCAGAUGAUGAGAGGUGACUGUAUAAUCGCGCUGUGAGAUCAGCCCAGCCCGCAAGCAUUUCAGAAGGAAUAGAAGUGCCCCAAAGAACACAGAAGUGGCCGGCGCCUCUCUGCAGGACACCACACUGCAGGUCACUGCAUGGGAGCAGGAGGUAACAGGAGAAAGAGUUAAUCUUUGCUGAAGAUGGGGAUGUGCUGAUAAGAUAUCUUUCUGUGAGAGCUGAUGUUUCAAAAAAUCAGCAGUUUCACUCCUGUGAUUCUGUAGUUUGUCUUCUGGAAGGGAUGUGCGGAACAGAAAUGAUGAAGUAUUAAGACCAAAGAAGACAGAAGCCCAGAGGCGAAAAGGAUGAGCAAGUCAGAAUCUGAAACAAUGUAGUCAGGAAACACAGAUGAUGCGGUUUCUGUUAAAAGCAGGUUUGUUCAAUUAGAGGGGAUGGGAAUUUGUGUAUGCAUAGCUGCAGGUUCAUUAACUGUAGGAAUCACAGUGUAUAUACAAAAAGGCAGAUUAAUUUCUUGGAUAGACUAUCCAAUAUCAUAUUCAUAUAUUGGAUAUUAUACUAUAUAGGCAUAUACUGUUAUAGAUUUUAUGUGUGUGUAUGCAAGUGUGUGUGUACGUACUGUUGUAGGCUCCAAAUCUAUGUGCAUAAGAUGGCAGAGGAGCUUGUCAGAGAAGGGUUUAUGUAUGGAAGGUGGGAAGUGGUGGAAUAAAUAAUUUUUUUAUUACACCCAAUGAUCCAAGCAGGACUGUGGUUGUUAAGUUGCAUUUCUAACCCUUCAGUAUAGCUAAGGAAGCCUUGAAGAUGGGACCUAGCUUCAGAAAUGGUCCCCUAAUGUAAAGAUAUCUGUCUGUGAAAGUUAAGGAUGAUUUUUUUCAGUUGUGUCAGUUUUUCUUCUAGACCCCUUCUGCACCAGAGCAGCACAUGCAACAGGAGAUUGGCAGCCACUGCAUUUUGAAAUAAGCAUGUAGGGUUGAUGUGCUAUUGCUCCUGCCCCUCUGAAGGUGUCAAGAGCUUGGUGUUGCAUUGUCUGUCUUCUUGCUUGCUUUCUUCUUGCUUAUUCAGUCAGCAUAGGAUCAUGCAAGGAGCAAUGUGGGAAGUGGUUUAACCUGGAGGAACAUAGGCCUGAACUCCAAUUCAUGUUCCUGUGUAAACAUGGUUGUCUCCCAGCCAUAGGUCAGGUUUAGAAGUUCUUCAUCACAGACAUUUUAUUCUCUGUACUGUAUCUGCUUCCUCUCCCACCGAGCCCUUGUCAAGAGCUACUGAUGAGCUGCAUUCAUUGUUCUUUUUUAUAGGUAUUUUUAUGAUAGCUAUAUUUUAAAGUAUAUAUUGUAUAGAAUGUGGCUGUAUAAAAUGUGUUUAUAAUAAACUUUACUGGUGAAAAGGGUUAUAGACUGAGGUAUAAAGGGCAUUUCGUUGGGUAGAAGACAGAACUUCAUUUACAAUGGAUAAAUGCAUUGUUGUUGCUCAAACUAAGCAGCAUGCAAGCUAUUCAUGGAAUGGCAUUCAUCUUCAAUAAAUAUUUUACAUAAUACAUGCAAGUUAUUCUUGGUAUGGCAUUCAUUUUUAAUAAAUGUUUUAUGUAAUGCUGACCACUUGGGACUCCCAGGAAUUAAAGAUUUGAUAACAGUAUGGUCUGUCAUCUUUUCCUUGAUUUUGACCUCAGUGCCAUAAGUGGUUGUAAUAUUUUUUUCUCAGUUCCAGACCCCCUGAAAAUUUCCAGUGUAUUGGUCAACUGCUGUAUAGUACAUGCAAGCCUAAUAAUAGAUCUUUGCUUUUCUUUGUGACCUUUCAUAGUUUCCUUAGUACUUGUUUUAACACACACACACACCUACACAUACACACCCCAAGUCAAAGGCUUUAAAAAUGGAAAAUUUGGAGUGUAUUUGGGAUAACUUCUAUUUUGCAGGAUAUGGGAUGCUAUUUUAAAACAUAAUAUAUUUGGAGGUGCUUUCCUUGUUGCAAGUACUGAUAACAAAUCAUCCUGGUCCCUUCACUAGUUCAAACAUUAAUCUUUGGGAAAAAUGAGUGUCAGAAGCCUCAUUAUGAGGCUGUGGGGCCAUUUAUUGGCUGCACUGACACUUAGCCUUUUCUGGAGGUAGGUGUGGGGCAGAGCAAGCUUUAGCCUGGAGGAGCAGAAGAUAUUUUGCGUACUGAGUCAUGGUGUUAAAUAUGCUUUUUACAAUUAUUUGCAGUGAAAUUCAUUGUAAGAAUGAGUCAUGUCAUUGGUGUUUAAUUUGAACUGGAGUUGUGAAACUUCAAACGACUAUGCAGGAGAUGGGUUGCUGUGAUGACGUGUAUCAUCCAGGGCUCUGUAUUUCUUCUAGGCAAAGCAUGUCCCUGUGGUUACACCUUUUCUUGUAUUUCUUCUUGCUUGUGUAGAAAACCUGUAUGUGUAAGAAUUUGAAAAUU